rnacentral:rRNA from 1 species
CGAGCGCCCCGCAAGGGGAGCGGCAGACGGGUGAGUAACGCGUGGGAAUCUACCCAUCUCUACGGAACAACUCCGGGAAACUGGAGCUAAUACCGUAUACGUCCUUUUGGAGAAAGAUUUAUCGGAGAUGGAUGAGCCCGCGUUGGAUUAGCUAGUUGGUGGGGUAAAGGCCUACCAAGGCGACGAUCCAUAGCUGGUCUGAGAGGAUGAUCAGCCACACUGGGACUGAGACACGGCCCAGACUCC